GGAUCAUUACUGAGUUUACGCUCUACAACCCUUUGUGAACAUACCUAUAACUGUUGCUUCGGCGGGUAGGGUCUCCGUGACCCUCCCGGCCUCCCGCCCCCGGGCGGGUCGGCGCCCGCCGGAGGAUAACCAAACUCUGAUUUAACGACGUUUCUUCUGAGUGGUACAAGCAAAUAAUCAAAACUUUUAACAACGGAUCUCUUGGUUCUGGCAUCGAUGAAGAACGCAGCGAAAUGCGAUAAGUAAUGUGAAUUGCAGAAUUCAGUGAAUCAUCGAAUCUUUGAACGCACAUUGCGCCCGCCAGCAUUCUGGCGGGCAUGCCUGUUCGAGCGUCAUUUCAACCCUCAAGCUCUGCUUGGUGUUGGGGCCCUACAGCUGAUGUAGGCCCUCAAAGGUAGUGGCGGACCCUCCCGGAGCCUCCUUUGCGUAGUAACUUUACGUCUCGCACUGGGAUCCGGAGGGACUCUUGCCGUAAAACCCCCAAUUCUCCAAAGGUGACCUCGGAUCAGGUAGAAUACCCGCUGAACUUAAGCAUAUCAAUAA
rnacentral:rRNA from 1 species